CUAAAAAAAAUUCUCCGAGUCUUGUGCACCUGCAGACGUGAUGUUAUGGUGACCGGACCGGCAGGGUAUAUCGGGAAACCGGUAUGCCUCCCAUUGUGGAAAGGAGAGGAUUACCGGCCAUU
rnacentral:ncRNA from 2 species